rnacentral:sRNA from 1 species
CUGCCUUACAGCCACUCUCUGAGAGGCUUGGCUCCCACUGUUCAAUGAUAAGGACAACAACCACGGCGCCGCAACUUGAUCAGGAGAAAUAUUUCAUUACACCAAGGUUUGACAGAUAUCAGGAAUUAAGCAAUUAAGCCCCACUAAUGCCAGCUGUUCCUUAUAAAUCUAAUGAUAAUAACUACCAAGCAUGGGCUGGGCAAAGGUAUCCAUAGGUUGCGUAAAAGCCGUCUCAAACACGCCACCAAGGUCAACCCCAACUCAGUCAUUCAGGGGCCGUGUUACCAGCACUCAACUUAUGAAGUACACUG